CUCCUUCUGCGUAUGUCAUAUCAAGCCAUUCUUUUGCUUCCAAUGGUUCAGUGACCUGCAGUGAACAUCGUUACUCCGCCCUGUCUCUUCUCUUCCAAACUCCUGCCAUUGUGAUUGGCAUUCACCCUCCUGCUGUUAGCAGCACUCAGUUUUUCUCAGGCCACCCUAUUUCCAGGGAGAUCAUAGACAGAAAAGCAAACUGUAAGACUAGGUGGUGGCACAAGUACACCCACAGUCACAGCGAUUCACUUCUGUGAUGUCACUGAGAUCUUUGGAAUUCCACAGGAAACAAUGGAAGCGAAGUUCUGCCUCCCAGAAGCGCCAGAGAAAUGCCACCCUACCACUGGAGCUGCUGAAGUAAAGAGGGUGCAGGCUCCCAGAAGCCCCAGAGAAAUGCCAUCCUACCACUGGAGCUGCUGAAGUAAAGAGGGUGCAGGCUCCCAGACGCCAGCCCCAGAGAAAUGCCACCCUACCACUGGAGCUGCUGAAGUAAAGAGGGUGCAGGCUCCCAGAAGCCAGCCCCAGAGAAAUGCCACCCUACCACUGGAGCUGCUGAAGUAAAGAGGGUGCAGGCUCCCAGACGCCAGCCCCAGAGAAAUGCCAUCCUACCACUGGAGCUGCUGAAGUAAAGAGGGUGCAGGCUCCAAGACGCCAGCCCCAGAGAAAUGCCACCCUACCACUGGAGCUGCUGAAGUAAAGAGGGUGCAGGCGCUGCGAGUGCCGCAGAGUAAGUCCUCCGAGGGAGCAGCUCCCGGUGUGGCAGGGAUGUGAGGUGUCCUCACUGGGUCAGAGAACACUUUGUCCCGUGAUGUGUCCCAACACCGACGCUGGAAUUCUCGGCGUCACCACAGCAUCAAGAACAGACUGCUAAUCUUCCCAAAGCUGUCAUGGAGAGCCAAAUUUGCCACAGUGUCGUUUGUGCAAGGGUAAUGACAUCGUAUUUUAUGUCAUCUGCAGCCUCUCUUAGGUUGUGAUUACGUGCACAGAAAAGAAGAAAAAAUAACAGAAAGUACACUUGGCAGGAAUGGUGGCACCGGCUGAGUUCUAGCUGUCCCCUCCUCGAAAACGUCUUUUCGGUUUCACAAUGAGCCACUGCUGACUGCUUCCUGACGCUGCCAAGUACCAAGAUGUGAGGCUGCACGCGUUCCUGGGUCCCUUUUCUUGUGACUUCUCAGGUAUUUGAAACAUUCCUGUGAACAUGGCUGAAAUCAGCCUCUGCCAACACUAUUCCCUACACUUGAGAAACGGUGUUUCCUGAGGUUUGGCCAAAGGGAAAAUACAAUCAAUCAAUAAAAUGUUUAAGUGCUAAUAUUUUAUAAAAUACUGAGGAAAAGAAAACGUUACCUGAGUAUAAAAACUCAGUUUACUUAUAAAACCUCGGCAGCACUGUACAAGAACUGCUGGUCCUUUAUUAGAGGAGUAGCAAUGGUACACUGCAGUCAGGGCAAGGGAAGAGGGGACAUAUAUUUGAGUCUGUAAUGACAUCCAUUUUAGAAUGGUUUCUUGUCUUCCCUGGGAAAUAUUCCAAGUCAGAUGUCAAAGGGCAGCUGUUUUACUCCAGAUGUUUUUGGAGAUCGCCAACGUACAUUUAGAUUGAGAGUCAAGACACAGGAAUUUUAAAAACAUAAAAUAGCUCUUUUAUGGUGCAUUUAAAUUAAUUUCUUCUAGUAUUUAGGAUAAAAGGAAGAACAGAUGGUGAAGAUUUCAUUUAAAGUGAGAGCCAUUAAAAUAAUCUUAGCCAGAAAGAGAGUUUUUCAUAACAGGAAUGCAUGAACCAUAAGAUUUUAAGCAAAUUUUUUAAUGGUCCAUACAAUAAGAGACUAUAUUAUUUCAAUUAUAUUUCAUACACUAAACUGAUAUGUAAUAAAUCCAUUCAGGAUUUCCGUAUUAUGCUAGAGUUCUAAAAAUGGUGAAAUGUCAAAAAAGGAAGCGUACUCUCAGAUUUUAUAAUUUUUCAGUUUCAAAUCUCCAAUCAUUAGUUCCCAUAUUUAUAUAAUUUGUAUAUGUCAUGUAUUCAUGGACAGAAAAGCAAUACAUUUUAAUGCAAUAAUGUUAUUUAUGACUCUGGACUUUAAAUUAUCUAGUUCCUUCCUUUUCAGUGCACGUUUUUAAAAGAGGAAGGGAGCAAUUCACACAAUUUCCGUUGAUAAAGUGAUCCGUACCUCCAAAUAUGGCAAACAACUCCUUAGAAAUCCAUAAAAUAGUGUGUCUGUACACAAUUCAACAUACAUACAGUUAAUAGUACUUUAACUGCCUUUCACACACGGGACACAUGCAUUGUAUCAAGAAGACUCUUGCCGCAUGACACAAACCCGACAGCUGCUGAACUUCAAAUGCGGAGUCAGUAAUCUUUGGCUAACAGAUUCUGACAACAGUUAUAAUCUUAUUGGUAACACCCAGUGAGAGAACGAUUGUUAGUGAUGGUAACGGAGCCAGAGUUUGAUGAAGGUGUCUGGGGCUGGCCCCGUACUAAUAGCUCAGGCAUAAAGUUUAAACCUCUUUACUGCGUAGGUGACCCCAAUUAUAUCCCAAGACAAAUAACACCCUUUACUCAAACACCUGAUACCAAAUGUGGCCACUUCAGAUAUCUCCCUCUUGGGGGCCUCUGAUCAUUUCAGGAUAUUUGAACAGUGGGCAUUAAUUGUCAGUUUUGUAUUUGCUAUGCUAGACCUCUCUGAAAUUGAUUGAAUUGUUUUAAAAUGCCUUGGUUUAUUGAGAGUGAUCUUUUAAAAGCACUUCCCUUAAUUCAUCCUUGCAAAUAUAUGUGUGUGUGUGUGUGUGUGUGUGUGUGUAUUUGGCUUGUGGAAUCACUAAAACAUUAUAUAUACAUGUUAUAUAUACAUAUAUGAUGUUUUAAUGAUUCCACAAGCCGAAGUGGAGAUAAGGCAUGUGACGGACAUCUCAUGCAAAAUUCAGUGUACUCUCUAAUGGGACCUGAGUGCUUGUUUACAUCAAAACAGAGUGUUCACUGUAUUUAUUUCAAACAUGAUAAAAUUACUCAAAAUGUGUGAGGAAUUGCCACUUGACACUAACACAGAGCAUUUGAACACUGCAAGAACUGCUUUGAACUAAAGCACAGAAAAUAUAUAUAUAUUUUAUAUAUAUAUUAUUAUUUUAUUUUUUUCUGAGACAGAUUCUAAUUCUGUUGCCCAGGCUGAAGUGCAAUGGCACGAUCUUGGCUCACUGCAACCUCUGCCUCUGGGGUUCAUACAUUCCUCCUGCCUCAGUGUCCCAAGUAGCUGGGGCUACAGGUGUGCUCCAAUUUUUGUCUUUUUAGCAGAGACAGGGUUUCACCAUGUUGGCCAGGCUGGCCUCGAACUCAGAUGAUCCACCCACCACAGCCUCUCAAAGUGUUGGGAUUACAGGCGUGAGCCCCCGUGCCCAAUGAAGAUAUUUUUAAUUCAAGAUUUCUGGAAGAGAGAACCCCAGGUCAUUGGUCUCACUUCUGCUAUUUUACAUAAACAAUACAAAUCUGGGAUCUAGCUAUGGAAUCCGGCUGACAGAGGCUACAAUCCCUGCGAGGCAACUUUGGAUAUAGUACUCACCCUUGGUAUGCUGUCUUCUCGUCUGUAAAACAGAGUCACAAUGCACCUGUUUGAAAUGAGUUCAUGUGCAUAAGGACCUGGCACUACAUUUGUUUCAUAGGAAGUGUCAGGCUAUAUUUUUAUUAUUAGGAUUAUCAUAGAAAAAUGGCUCUGCACGUUUUUAACUGAAUAAAGCACACUAUUCAUCUUUAAUAAAGUGCAGGGACAAACUUAGAACUGCUAUUGUGUUUUACGGUAUGUACGUUGUUAUUUACUUAUCUAGUUAUUUAUUUACCAAUCCAAAGUCUCCUUUUUGUCAGGCCCUGGACUAAGCCCAUAAUCCUAUACUCUGCUUCCAGUCUAAAAGGAAAAAGACAGGAACUCAGUGACGACAGUGCUGGCAGUUGACGGGGGAGUGACGGCACUUGGAACAGGAGGGCGGGAAAGAGCAUCUUGUCAAAAUCAAUGAUCACUUACUGGACAGUGGAGGACGCUCUAUGAGACUGCUCAGUGCCACACUGGUGAAAGAAAAAUCCAAAAGCUACUUGUAAAAUGGUCAAGUUCAAUGGCUGUGACGUGCUCAACAUAAAAAUAAGCUUGGAAUCUUAGAAAACACACCACUCCACUUCUCUCCAAGGUGGAACCAGGUGACAAUCUGUUGCUGGAAUCCGAGCUGCAUGUGUAGGUAUGUCUGCCUGGGUAGUAAGAGGAGUUGAUUUUACCCACCAGAACCAGGGCACUAGAAUCUAAAAGACGCUUUCCUCUAAUGGCCAAAGUACACAGUCCCUGGGUGGGAUACGGGGCACUGCAAAGUGCAUACUGGGAUCUCAGUAUUAUUUCCUACAGAACCGUUCUUGAUAGCCCACAAAUGCAAGAGAAUUUCCAGCUCUCCUUAAUUCUAGGGUGUCAGCAGAUAUCGGGAUAUACGCUAAGCUACAUAUAGAAACAGUAUAUCUGCAGGGUCCCAUAUGGGGGCUCCUCGCACACUGAGCUGGCCGCUGAGCACUUGAAAUGUCAGUCACUUCAAAUCUGCUGUUAGUGUAAAAUACACACUGGAUUUCGAAGAUGUGUAUGACCAAAUAAAGAAGGUAAAAUAUCUUAUCAAUUGAUUAUACUGAGUUAAAUAAUUGCUAAGACUACCUUUUCCAUGUUUUUUUUUUUUUUAAACCUGGUGUCACUGUGUCACCAGGCUGGAGUGCAGUGGCAUGAUCAUAGCUCACAGCUGCCUCAGAUUCCUGGGCUCCAGCGAGCCUCCCACCUCAACCUCCUGAGUAGUUGGGAUUAUAGGUGUGAGCUUCCAUGCCAGCUAAUUUUUCCUUUUUUAAUGUGGCCACUAAAAAUUUUCAAUUACAUAUGUUGCUUGUACACGUGGUUCACAUUAUAUUUCUGUUGGGUAACACUCAUCUACAUGGUUGUCUAACCAUUUGGGUGGAGAAGCUCAUAGGUAUGGUUGUCUAACAAGACGGUAGAAUUGGGUUUUGUUCUGUCUUCCCUCCACCUGAUUUUACGUAGAAUGUCUGAUAGAACCAGCCUUCCAUUUGACUUGAAUCUUCUUUCAA